rnacentral:rRNA from 1 species
AGGACGAACGCUGGCGGCGUGCUUAACACAUGCAAGUCGAGCGGUAAGGCCCUUUCGGGGGUACACGAGCGGCGAACGGGUGAGUAACACGUGGGUGACCUGCCCUUAGCUCUGGGAUAAGCCUGGGAAACUGGGUCUAAUACCGGAUAUGACCUCGCGAUGCAUGUCGUGGGGUGGAAAGCCGUUGUGCGGCUAGGGAUGGGCCCGCGGCCUAUCAGCUUGUUGGCGGGUAAUGGCCCACCAAGACUGUGAUCGGUA